rnacentral:piRNA from 1 species
UGCCUGGUGCCAAGAAAGGCCAUCA